AUGAAGGCCUUAGGGUGGUAAAACUCUUUUACCAGGGAUGAUAAUGACAGUACCUGGAGAAUAAGCUCCGGCUAACUCCGUGCCAGCAGCCGCGGUAAUACGGAGGGAGCAAGCGUUGUUCGGAAUCACUGGGUGUAAAGGGYCCGUAGGCGGCUAUUCAAGUCAGAGGUGAAAUCCCGGGGCUCAACCCCGGAACUGCCUUUGAWACUGGGUAGCUAGAAUCUUGGAGAGGUCAGUGGAAUUCCGAGUGUAGMGGUGAAAUUCGUAGAUAUUCGGAAGAACACCAGUGGCGAAGGC
rnacentral:rRNA from 1 species